rfam:Ajellomyces capsulatus NAm1 scaffold_276 mitochondrial scaffold, whole genome shotgun sequence.
CCUGAUAAUCCAUUAUCUGAGCUCAAACGGCAUGCAUAAGAAGUAAUUCUUUUGUUUGAAGCCCGUUAAAUAUUCAAUUAUACCUACCUAUUAGGUAGGUGAGCUAUAUUACUAAGGAUAAGUAAAUUGAAUC